GCAUCAGAUGAUUGUGUAAAAGCCUGCGCCUACGUGCAUUUUUACACGUGCAGAGUAUAGUAAACAUAUGAGAGAGAUAAAACUAGUCGAAUGACAUUUGCCAAUUGGUAUAUGUAAGAAUAACAAUAGUUUAUAAUAACUAUAAUAAUAAUGUCUACAUAAUAUAAUUUAAAUAAACAAUUACACUUGAAAGGGGUGUUUUGAAAACAUUAAUUUUAAAUCAGCAUGCUAAGUCGUAUCUCGAGAUGUAUUGUGGUAAAAUCAUUCAAAAAAAUUACUCUAAAUCAAUAAAUUUUAUAUUUGCGGCUAAAUAUUCGCGUAGAAGUGCGAAAAAUACGACAACAUACAAAUUAAUGAAGUCGAAUGGUAUUGACGCAGAUAUUAACAAUGGAGAACUGGACAACAAUCCAAAUUGGGAAUUAUUUGGACCAAGAGGAUUUAGAUUUUAUUUGCCAGGAAGUAUAGGACCUGGCUGGUUAGAUCAAUCGACUACUGCUCAAGUUGAAACUCGGUCCAUUUUGAUACCGAGAAACAAAGUAGAGUUUGAUGAUGGAAAUGAUUUUAAUAGUCUUGAAAUUAACGACAUGAUAAGUGUUGGUAAAACUAAAAAUAAUAAACUUAAACGAGUGAGACAGAAAAGUCAUAAAAAUCAGCCUAUUUUACACUGCAUUGCACAAGAAUGCCCCAUGUUACUGAGAAAAGGUAUUCAAGAACUUUUUCCAAGUUGCAUCGAAGCUGCCUCACCACAUCUUACUAUUGUUACUAUCACACAGAAGUUGAGUCCUAGGAUGAUGCGAUGGAGCAAAGAAAUUGAGACUGAAAAAUUAGCUAAAUUCUUUCUCCUUGCUGCUUCUGAUAUUUGUACUAAACUGAAAAUGUUUGGAUACUGGGCUGAUUUUAUAAAUCCAUUCAGUGGUCAGCCUUACUUAAAUCCUCAUAAAACCGGUGUAUUGUACAAAACAGAUGAACGUUUUCGUUGCUUGGGCUUUAAGGUUCAUCGGAACAAUAACUGCAAAAUAAUUAUGCAUGAAAACAAAGGCUCAGAAUUUAUCGAUAUGCCCUGGGCUUUGGAUUUCUCCGUUUCUGAGCUAUUGGAUAAGUCGUAUUCAAUAUUGUAUUCUUCAAGAAUUUUCCUUCUGAGCUUCGUGAAAUUUGUUUUCAUUUCCCGAGAUGAUAAUAGUUUGUAAAGGUCUGAAAGCAUGAUCACUGGUUGUAGAGGGUCUAUUUGUAAUUCUUAAAAUAUAUUCCUGACUUUUCUUUGGCCAUUAGUUCUGUCGGAAGCCUUUACACAUCUGCACCAGCAAGUAUGGAUUUUUUUAAAGAUAUUAUGAGUGGUAUGUCCGAUCAUUAAAACUUCAACCUUGAGUGAAACGCUAGGUAUCGGCGAUUGUUAUAUGAAUAAAUAAAGGAAAUCUAUAGAAGAACAAUAAA